rnacentral:tRNA from 1 species
GUCAGAGUGGCAUAGUGGUUUGAGUGUUGGACUAUGGCUCUGGAGACCAGGGUUUAAAUCCCUGCUCAGCCA